GGAAAUUAUGCUUUCAGGAAAAGGUUAAGUGGAAAUGUGAUGUCUGUAUGUAUUUCUUACAUGCAUUAUAUUUUAAAAACUUUGAAGCAUGACUCUUUCAUGAUUUAUUUAUGUAAAUGCUGUCAUUUUUCAGUAAACAAAAACUUAAAAUAUUUCGUGUCUUAAUGUUAUUGUGCAUUUGGGUGUACAGGCACUGUUAUAUGAGUAGUUAAACGAGAAAUUAUGGUGGCACAAAAUAAAACGUGGCAAGUUUUUAAGCGGAUAAAAAAUGAGAACUAUAUUGUAUGGUGGAACGGCACUUAGUUUGCAGCACUUUGACCUUGUGUGAAGUAAUAUUGAUGGAAGUUUGAGCGAGUAGUCAGGAGUAAUAAUGUUUCUGUGUGCGAGGUCAAAGUGCUGCAAACAAAAAAAGUCUUGCCAGUGCUAUAGCUUCAGCUGGUUUGGGGAGUUUAUUUUAAAGGACUACAUGAGUGAAGAUCAGUUGCAGAUGACGUAUGUGGAAGAUAAUACUUAUACUAAACAAAACGUCUUCCUGGUGGGUGGCGUCACAAUGGGUGGUUUCAGCUUAACUUUCUCUUUAUAGUUUCUCAGCUGGUAUAUGAAUACACAUCUCUGUGUGGAUCUUCAUAUUCUUCAGGCACAUUUUGAUGUUAAACUGGACUGUUGUGUUCAUACAUCAAACUUGGGAUCUUAUAGCAACUGCACCAGAAAACAAUGGAGUUUGACUGUAAUAAGGACAUCUCCAGAACUCAUCCACAGACAAAUGUCAGUGCUGUGGCGCAGAAUAGAAGCAAUAUUACAGGACCUUUUUUUAUUAAUUGCACAAUAACCAGCAAUGUUCCCAUAACACAUAAUGCUUCUG